AGCAUAAAAAUCACCUAUAAUCUCACUUUUAGAAUUAGUCUUUUCAAGUAACUUUUAUAUUGGGUGGUAGCAGAACCCAUUGACAAGCACUCCCACACACCCCGAGGCAGUUCCACUUCUCUUUUUAAAAUCAACUGUUCAUCAUUCAGCUUCUGAAAUUCAAAUAGAUUCCAGUUUCGUAAUUUCAUCAGUUAAGACACACCUCCUUUGAAGACAGAAACUAUGACAUUUAACAAUAGGGAUACAUCUUACAGGUAGUACUUGCUUAGAAAAUAAUCAAAAAUACUAGGAGCCGCUUAUGGAACCAGCCAUUCUUGUGGCCCCUCAGAAAACUACUUCCUUUCUCUCCUCCAGUGGAUUCGACGUUCAGUUGCAGUACAUGGACAAAGUUGAGAGUCAAGGAAGCCCAUGCUGCUGCUGUGCUGUGUGGAAAACGGAUUGGAAGGAGAACAAGAGUGGAUGUUAGAGCCCUGAUAAGAGGCUGCGGCUGUUCAGUGUUCAUUGUUGUACAUAUGCUGAGAUUCAAACCAGGGUGAGCAGAUAUUAUAAGAUUUCAUGAGACACGCUAAAGACACUGAUGAAGAAUCACAUAUGAAGCAUGAUCGUUUUCUGGACCACAGCAUCAAAAGAGGCUUUAAAGAUCCCUCAUCCCAUCUGCUGCUUGAGUCCCCACUGUAUCAGCCUUCUGCGUGCAAGUAAUAGAAACCAACUCUGGGCAAAUAAACCAAAAACGGGUAUUCAUUGUAUUCAUAAAAGGUUGCGCAUGGAAUUUGAAAACAAAAAACAAAAACAAAACAGCCAAAGAACCAGGCUCUGCAGGGUCAGAAACCAUACUGAGUCUGGGCUCUGGGUACCAGAUGCUGAUGGGCAAUGUCUUCAAGUGUUACCCACUGGUGACUUCACGGGGUGCUGGGGGGGGCUUUAAACUGCCUCCAAACCCCAAUUCUUAGUCCAGGCCGUUGAUACUUCUUAUCCUUUUUCAAAAUGCUAUGGAGAGGUGGUUUAAAGUGGUCCCCCGAAUCUUGCCCUCUACCAUGUUGCUAGCCCCGUUCCUUCUCCACAGAAAGAAUAAGGCUGCCACGGAAACAAUCACCAGGGGGCAUCAGCUUUGCGCUGUCUCCCCGACUCCACCCGCUUACCACUGCAGAGAAGAGGGUGCUGAGGGAGGGAGUCUGGGUCAUUCUAAGUCAUGAUGUGACCACCUUUUGUCCAGGUUUAUUGUUAAGUCAAGGCUGCCACGAUAGGGGAGAGGUAAUUCCCCACCAGGGAAACUGGAGGCUGUUCUUCAAGGAAGGAGGAAUAGCCAGAAAACAUGUGUCUGCUAACCUUGCUAAGAGAGUGACAAUCACUUCCUGUCACACGGGCCACGCUCACUCCUCCAGUAGCUUUUGGUGGUACUUGUACUAAUGGUGGAGUUAAUAUAGGGUUGCCAAAUCUGUUUUCCAAGAAAGAGUGGGACAUGUAGAUUUUUUUUUAA